ACAAAGGAGAAGACAUCAUAAAAGAAACGUAGAUGACAGCAGAAAGGAUGAUUGAACUGUAACAAAGACAUUGCAAAAAACAAAACAUAGAGAAGAGGAACAACAGACUGAUUAUGGACAUGAACUACAAAGAACCAGGUUAGAAGAGGAUGGUUGACUUGCCUGUACUCAUCUAGCUCAAAAAUGUCAGAAAAAAGAUUUGAACACAGGUCCUUCUAACUCCAAACACAGCACACUUUCUCAUAUACCACAUGGUCUCUCAGAUAUAAUCUUAUUUGAUCCUCACCCCAAUCCUUCAAGGGAAGUACUGGCAUUUCCCCCAUUUUACAACCAAGGAAACAAAGGCAUAUAGACAUUCAGAAAUUCAGGUUUCCCUGACUUCAGGAUCAGAGUUCUAUCUAUUGCACCCUCUUGGUACCCUGUAGUUCCUCUGUAAGUUUAACAAUAAUAGUUUUGUAGUAAACUGAAAAAUC
rnacentral:lncRNA from 1 species